ACUGAGUACAUAGGGACUUUACUACUACGAGAAGUAUCAAUACUAAAAUUCAUUUCCAAACUGUAGCUGAACGAAAAAUGUUAUUAAAUUUCAAAUAUCUUAGAACCUGAGUGAGAUGUAAAUUAUUGAAAGGAAAAUCAUCCUUGGAAUUGAAAAAUUUAUUCGAUCACGAAUUAUAUACUCAGUACGGCUCUGCUCCUUUAUGAGAGUAUUAACACCUGAUAAAUCCAUACUCCUGACCCACAAAGAUCCAAAACGUCAACAACAGAUGACCUCAGUGACAAGGUAAAAACAUAUUGACACAAAAGAUACCUUCGCAUCCACAUAUCCGCAACUUUUGAGCUAUAAGUGCCUCGAUCGCGAUGCAUUUGCUAUCCGUUUAUUUUCAUAAAGUCACGCAUCAUAAUAUUCAAAUUCGAUUUCUCUCCAAAUCAUCCAUGGUAAAAUAUUUAUGUGCCGAAAUGAAAUGAUACGAUACUUCGCGGUAAAUAGAAUAUUGUUUAUUCUAUGUGUGCUAUUCUCGGGUGUUAUGGUCAAGAUUUGGGCCUGAAAAUCAAAACCACUGAGUUACAUAUAUGGGAUAUACGGGGAGUUGAUGGAAACUUCGGAGAACAGUUAAAAAAAAACGAAAAACUUGGUUUUUUCAGAUCUUCUGUUUUAUUCGGUCAGCAUCCUUGGUUGAGUUAUGUGGUACUGACGAGUGACGACCUCAAAUAAGAAUGAAACCUGUCUAUCACUACCCUACAUAGAUGAAUCGUCAGCCACGCAACCAGUGAGGUUUCCACUCACCAAGUCGGUCACAUUACCACUCGCGUCCCUUAGAGCUGCUCCCCCAGCAAAAAGAACAAAAGCAGCGUAUGAUAUCAUCGAUAUCACAAGUGCAAGAAA